UCUCUGGUGGUCCAGUGACCCGGACUCUGCCCUUCCAAUGCAGGGGCCCAGGUUCGAUCCCUGCUCAGGGAA
rnacentral:tRNA from 1 species